AGUGAACGCUGGCGGUAGGCCUAACACAUGCAAGUCGAACGACAGCACAGUAAGAGCUUGCUCUUACGGGUGGCGAGUGGCGGACGGGUGAGGCAUACAUCAGAAUCUACUUUUUCGUGGGGGAUAACGUAGGGAAACUUACGCUAAUACCGCAUACGACCUACGGGUGAAAGCAGGGGAUCUUCGGACCUUGCGCGACUGAAUGAGCCGAUGUCGGAUUAGCUAGUUGGCGGGGUAAAGGCCCACCAAGGCGACGAUCCGUAGCUGGUCUGAGAGGAUGAUCAGCCACACUGGAACUGAGACACGGUCCAGACUCCUACGGGAGGCAGCAGUGGGGAAUAUUGCACAAUGGGCGCAAGCCUGAUCCAGCCAUACCGCGUGAGUGAAGAAGGCCUUCGGGUUGUAAAGCCCUUUUAUUGGGAAAGAAAAGCAGCAGGUUAAUCCCCCGCUGUUCUGACGGUACCCAAAGAGUAAGCACCGGCUAACUUCGUG
rnacentral:rRNA from 1 species